rnacentral:rRNA from 1 species
GAUGAACGCUGGCGGCGUGCCUAAUACAUGCAAGUCGAGCGAACCACUUCGGUGGUGAGCGGCGAACGGGUGAGUAACACGUAGGUGAUCUGCCCAUCAGACGGGGACAACGAUUGGAAACGAUCGCUAAUACCGGAUAGGACGAAAGUUUAAAGGUGCUCCUGGCACCGCUGAUGGAUGAGCCUGCGGCGCAUUAGCUAGUUGGUAGGGUAAAGGCCUACCAAGGCGACGAUGCGUAGCCGACCUGAGAGGGUGAACGGCCACACUGGGACUGAGACACGGCCCAGACUCCUACGGGAGGCAGCAGUAGGGAAUCUUCGGAUUGUAAAACCUUUGUCUUUGG